UGCUUCGCUUCUGAACCGAGUUAGGGUUGAUUAAUCGUGCCGUACGGCCUUCGAUUUCGCUUCGAUUGCGUCCUUGGUUCCCUUUUUCUACGCUGAUUUGCGGCGAUUCGGUCCGCCAUUUUGGGGGUUUGCUGUUGGGGUUUUCUGACCGGGCUGAUGCGGCGCACCGAGCGCUCGAGCAGGUGUUUUCUAGAAGUUUCCGGUAUCUCGCGGCAUGUUCCGGUAGAGGAAGGCCGAGUUUCCGCAAUGCAGCUGCUUUCCGCUUCGAUCUGGUCCUCAUUUUCGUCUCGUUUACGGCGGUUAUUUUUGGAUACAGGUUGCUCGAUUUGAUCUCCCCGCGUCGUUUCGAAACGAUUGGUUAGUUCAUCUCGUUUGGGGUGUUGUUUUGCCCUCGUCUGCGCUCGUUUGCUGAUCCCCAAUUUUCCUCUACCGUAGCUGCAAGUUAAUAUUCGGCCCAUUUCUGCAUAUAAAAUCUCAGUCAGAGUUGUGGUUGUCUGCUGGUUUGUUCAGACAUCGGCACUAUCUCUCGUGCCCUUGUUGUGACCCUGAUUCCUCGAUUGUGUAGGUGGGUUUUAAUGUGGUUUUGGUCCGUUUAUAUGGAUUUAAGGACUGGCAGCGUUGGUGGUUUUAGUUUGCUGCUUGGAAUUUGCUUUAGUUCCUUGCUUGGAUUCGUUUUGAUUCCGAGAAAUCCGAGUAACCCGCAGACCCUCGUGCUCCUCCUCUAGAGAUCUUAGCGUGCGUGGCCGGGGAGGAUGCCGACCGAAAGGAAUGGGCCGGUCUCCCGACGGCGAGGUAGGAGGGACGUAGGAGCGCGGCGCCAUCGGUCACGGCCGCCUCGGCAGCGACGGCCCCAUCCAAGUCCACAUCUGGCAGGGCUGGAGAUCUCCGGUCAAGGGUCGCAGGACGAGGAGAGGAGGAGCACCGCCACCUCGCGCUGCUCGUCGACUCGUCCGCACUGGAUGACCUCGUGUACUCACUUGAGGUGCCUAUCACGUGCAAGAUCGCCGGGCGAAAUCGAGCGAUGCGGACGACGCCGCGACGGAGUGGUGUUCAGGUCCACACGUGAGGCGCAGAGACUGGCACUCCGCAUACCAGCGCGUGCAGCUGAUAGCAGUUUGGUGAGCGCUGACGUACGUCGAAGUGUUAUGGGUGAGGCCGACUGAGACCAGAUCCAGUGCAUCCUUAAUGGUCCAGAUCAAGACCUCUGUUAAUGUUUGCGAAAAAUCACUGUGGAGAAGAUCGUGUGAGACUCGGAUUGGUGUGUUUUCGUUGUGUGCUUCCAACAUGUGUGCAGGAGACCAGGUUUGAGAGAUUUGGCGGGAGAGAGGAUUUCUUCAUUGGACUAGGUUCGGCAGGGAGAGGAAAUCAGUUUGAUUAUGUCCGCAGCAGAGUCCAAGACCAUGGGUAAAGAUAAUUUAAUCAAUCUGUUGUUUUGGUUUGUUUCUUGCAUUACCGGG